UACGGAGGAUCCGAGCGUUAUCCGGAUUUAUUGGGUUUAAAGGGUGCUCAGGCGGGGGAUUAAGUCGGCGGUGAAAUUUUGCGGCUCAACCGUAAAAGUGCCUUCGAAACUGGUUUCCUUGAGUGUGGAUGAGGUAGGCGGAAUUUGUGGUGUAGCGGUGAAAUGCAUAGAUAUCACGAGGAACUCCGAUUGCGCAGGCAGCUUACCAGGCCAUAACUGACGCUCAAGCACGAAGGCGUGGGGAUCAAACAGGAUUAGAUACCCCUGUAGUCCCUGA
rnacentral:rRNA from 1 species